CAACUUUUGUUCACUUGGGAGUUUGUAUGUAUGAAUGUGUGAUAAUAACCACUUGGAUUAUAUCACGGAUGAUGGAUAUAUACUAAAUUUACUAAAUAUAAAGUAGGAACCCCAGCCACCGUGGACGCUUCCACGGAAAGGACCCACAAAAGAGAGGUCAUGCUCACAGCAAAGUACGAUGGAGCAGAAAGUAAGAGUGAAGAAUUGUAGUAUGUGUUAGGUGCUAUAUAGUGUAUGCAGACACAUACAACAGUGGUGACGCAAGUUACGAACUCAACAGCCAUAUGGAGCCUAGCCUACACUUAACCUCCUAAACAAAGAAGUGGAAGACAACAACCCUAAUCCGAUGAAGUCUAUCUGAAAAUGAAGACAAUCUCAAUUAGAUAGCUUCAAUACACUUGAACCAGCAUUCUUCAAGCACUAUGGCAAGAUAGUUGUGAGUUUAAAGCAACAAAAUAAGGUGGUUUAGCCUUGAUAGAUAACUUCCCAAAUCCUGGGUCAAAACUUCCCAUUGGUAGCCCAAAACUCUUCCAAAUUCCCGAAUUCGUAGCCUGACCCUAACUUCCAAGUAUCUCACAGCAAAAAUGCUGAUAUAUGUCAAAAUUCUUGAAAGCUUUAGUAUCAAUAAUGAUUCUAAGUCAGUUUUUACAAGAUGGAAAAGGUGCAUAGGCAGCUUUCUGGUUUAUCUAAAAGCACCAGGGGAAAUAAAUGAAGAGCAGCAGAAGGCUUUGUUACUUAAUACUGCAGGUCUAGAAGUUCAGGAAGUAUACAAUACUUUGACUCUUAACAAGAUUCAUUGCAGGACACAAUUGAAGGGUUCACAAAUUAUUUUGCUCCUCAAGCCAAUAUUAAAUACUUUGUAUGUCAUCAGUUCACCCAAACAUCACAAGAAUCAGGUGAGAACCCCUUCUUUACCAAGAAGCUUAACCAAACGUAAACAUUGUGUUCACUAAUGAAAUUAUUUUUUCGGUAAUUUAAUAAAUAUAAAGUAAAUGGGUUCACGUAUGAACUUUCUACUAAAGUAUCUCCAGAGUAGGGAGACAGAAGAGAAGCACAAAAAACAAAAUUACAAAUUGUUUUAUACUUGUGUAGAUUUUUUUACAUUUUCACACUUGUAAGUCUAAAAAGAAAAGAACAUGGUUUCUUGAUUA